GAGACCCAUGGAAGAUUUUCAGGGGUUACAAAACUGCCCUCAUGGACCAGCUACCUGUUUUGAUAAAGUUCCACUGGAACCCAGCCAUGCCCAUCAAUUUGCAUAUUGCCUAUGGCUACUUUCCCGCUACAAAGGCAGAGUCGACUAUAGCAGUUGGGGCAAAAACCAUAUGGCCCGUAAGCCUAAAUUAAUUACUUUCUGGUUCUUUACAGGAAAAGCUUGCUGACUCCUGGUUUAGAUGAGGGGCUGGGACUUCCUUGGGGGAAGAGGAGAUGGCACAAGAUGAAGAAAUAAUGGGGUUUGCUUCUUUGGACCAAAUCCAAGACAUCUACUGUGCUGAAUUCUAUUUGUGUUUACAUCUUCUAAAGACCAGGAUUCCAAGGCCACAUGGAGCAGCACCACCACCUGCUGCAGGGCAAAGGACCCAGGCUCGCUUCCCAGCUGUGGGACUCUGGACAAGAACAGCGUUUCCCAGCCAAAUCAUCCUUGGACUAACUACCUGUGAUCUAUAGCACAGACCAUAGCUGUGAAGAAAACGGGUAAGGUACCCAACUAGACGCCUAUCUGGACACAAUAGUCAACAGGAUGGAUACAGGGCGUUCUCUCCUGGAGAUGCCAGUCAGUUCAUGGAGUUGACUUGACUUGCCACAGGAGCAUGGAGGAUGGAUCACCUGCACCCUCCUCCCUCCCAUCCUCUUUGCCUCUUUAUGAGAUGCCUCUUUAUGGGAUAGCUCACAAGGUGAACAGCAACUAUCUAAUAAUCCAACUGGUGUCCCCUCUCCAAUAAGGGUUAUAACAAUCUCAUGUGGAUAUGAGAUCCUUACAGGGUAAGAAAUUUCCUCCAGUCUCAUUGUCAGUAGCCAUUUUUACUCCUGAAGCUAUGUACUUGGAGUGCCUGGACCAAGAUGGAGUAAACAAGCAAAUAGGUCCCUGAGUCCUGUGGGCACUCUGGUACUCCUAGCAGAGUGAAGGCUGUUCUGGAGCUAUUAGCAGCAUCACAAGCCACUGCUCACAACCUGGAAGGAGAAUUCCCAUACCCAACCACUGUGUGUCCCAGCGUGUGAUAUCCAUCCACAAGGAGUUCAUUCAAACUGGUCUGUUGAACAAUAAAAUAUCCCAUCAAACACAUUGUCACUGUAUAGCAACAUCCACCACAAACUGAAAUGCUCUCUGGCAACGACACGUGGUUCCAUCCUAACUUUUGAAAUGUAAGAAUGGGCACCACAGAAGAGGGUGGUACCAAGAGCCCAGCUGAGGGUCCUGCACCCCAUCAAGUCACUUCCCAAUCAGUCACCUGCUUACUUUGUGACUUUUCUGGGCCUCUGAUCCCAGUCUCAGUGAGUGCUGUCGACUAGAAUGCAAGCUCCACAAAGGCACAGAUUUUUGUCUGUUAUGUUUGCUGCUGUGUUCCCAGUGUCUAGAGCAGUAUAUGGCAUGCAGAAAGGCCUUGAAAAAUAUUUGACGAGUAGGCGAAUAAAUGGGAGCCCCUAAAAAGCAGUACCCUUGAGCCAGUACUUGCAAGCAGUACUUGGUGAGCAGUCAUAAAGAAUGUGUUAAGUGAAUGAAUACAUUUCCAAAGUUAAAAUGCCCAAACAAACCAAUCCCUUUGAGAGUGGUUGAGUCUCUUCUGUGUUCCUCUGAGUGGAUCAGGGCUUGUAGCAUCAUCCUAAGCAACAUUCCCUAAGUUUUCCUGCAAGGAGCCACAGUGGAGGAAGACUCCAGAUUACAUGACUAAUCUGGGAGGGAUAUUAAGAUGUUACCUGUGGGUCACCAGGACACAUUCUCAUCACCACUCCCCAGCCAAACACUUACAUACUAAUGCUCAUCUGUGGGGACUGAAGCCAUCUGGCAAAUAUUUAUCAAGGCUCUCUGUGCCUGGCAUUGUGCGGCUGCUCUCUCAGGAAACUGGUGGUAGGUGAGAAAGUGUGACUCUCCACAUAGCUCACCAUCUGGUGGAGGACUGCGAGGUUGCCAAGGAUAGAAGCCAGGACAUUGGUCAGGGGCAGUGCCAUCUGCCGACCCUCUGAGCUCAACGGAGAACACAUCAUUGUUUGCAAAUGGCCAGGGCCUUUCUGAGGCCACUUGGAAGUUCCUUCCCAAUGCCAGAGCUUAAGAAACAAUAAAAACAAAAUUUUCUAGAAUUAACAAUGAGAAGAAAGCAAUGAAACAAACUAUGAAAUUGAAUUAAGAACAGUGAAAAUUUUAUUUGCUUAAGUUUUUUUUAACUUUUCUUUAUUAACUUCGAUGAAAGUUUUCUUUCAAGUCCUUCUAGUCUUUAAAGUUCUCACUCAAUCUUUUCUCUGUGUUGGAGCAAAUUUUGCCUGCUAAUUUCCAAUAAGCACAGCCCUUAAAAAUGAACUGGCUUCAGCAUAUGGAUCUUAACACUCCACAUUUUUACAGGCAGCAGUGUAAUAUUGUUUUAAUAUUUAAUUUUGAGAUUUACAUAAUAUCUUUCCUCCAAAGAGCUCAAUAUAUUGCAAUAUCAUAAAAUUCCUUUUCAUAUUCAAAGAUUAUUCUUUAUGCAUGCAAAUACUAUAUUUAACCAAGGAAUAAUGCAAAUUAGGUGAUGUAUUCAGAGGAAUUGAUGGGCUAGGUAAUUCUUUUGUAAGAAAAUUAGUGUAUCUGAGUGAUUUUAACUGUCUAAGAACUUCAAAAGUGCCUUAAAAAUGGACAAACUAUAGGGGCUUGUAACUAUUAACAGAAAUAGUGCAGCAUUUUUAAAAGAAAAGUAAAUAAUGGGUUGUGUCUGUGUUGUGGGCAUGAUGGAUAGUAUUCCACAUGGAAGUGGCACGCAGGCCAUACAUGAACUGCAUGUAAUAUAAAUGUCAGAUAUAAAUUGUGCUGAUAAGAUCAUGCAAGUGAGGGGAAAAUUGUUGCUUCUUCAAAUACACAAUGAGGAAAGAUAGAGAGGCUCCUCUGAGCAUCAGAAUCAUCCAAUGGCAGGUACCUAGGUUCUGGGCUCCACUUCCUACCUCAUCAUUAGCUCACUGGGAUACAGACUUUGCUACUUUCGUUUCUGGUGCCUACCCCUCCCAGCACAGACUGGAGAAACCAAUAUCUGUUAUGUAUCUGAUACAGAUAACAUCAGUCCCAAACAAAGAAACUGUGAAGGCUUGGAAGGAAACAGUCUAGGGAGAAAAAAUACGGCAAAUUGCUCUCUAGCUGAAGACAUAUUCCCAGAAAUGAUGCUAAUCUCUCAGUCCAUAGCAUAGUUUACAGAGUGAUUUUCUAUCUGCUCUCUCAUUUGCUUGUCCCUAUAGUACUAGGAAGCAGGUAUCAUGACACCUGUUUUAUAGGCAAGAAAUGAGGGAUCUUGCCAGUUAAAUGAACUUGCAUGAUUCAUGUGAGGAGCAGAGAGGGGAAGCAACCCCAGGAAUACCCCACAGCACUCUGCCACCAUGAGCCCAGAGGUGAGGAAGAUGACUGCCCCGUGGUGGAAUGAGAAUGGAAAACAGAGCAUGCUUGGCAGUAAGACUUGGGUUAAUCAGAUUCACCCUCUGAAUCAGAGGUUACAAACCAUCGCCAACAGGCUAAAUCCAGAAUUGGAUUUCUUUGGCUCUCAAGUGCUUUAAAAUUUUCUAAUCAGUUGUCAACAUUUUAAAUCUGGAUUUUCAGCUUAUAAAAUCAGGCAGUGCUGGGCAUGCAACUCUUGCUGGAGCUGAACAAUGGCUGCCUCUAAAGUUCCCUGCAGUCCCCACCACUCUCUAUUGCCUUGUACCUGGCUCUGCUUUGCUCCUCUCCAUUACCUGCCUGGCCUUAGGGGUCUUUGAGUUUGUUCUCUGGCUUAGAUGGUCCCAAGCUCAUGUGCUGGUCUGAUUCAUCUUUUAUACCCCCAAGAUUUCCUCUGAGGUCUUCUUUUCCAACUUUGACACUCCGAGUCUAUUUGACAGAAGAGAGAAGUAAAGUUUGUCAUUCACUUAAUUCUCUCUGACAGCCAGAUGAUCCGGCCAUCAGUCUGAAUCUGGGGCCAGAUGCCAGAGAGUGACUGCAGGAGUUAGUGGUGAUAACAAUCUCUCUGCAGAUCACUUGGCCACUGGAACAGAGAGAGUUGCACCUGAUCUGGUCUAUUUUAAACUCAUGGCAGCUGUAUUCAGUGCAAGGAUGUAUCCCUGAAGACCUCACAUAAAUCUGAGCUUGCAUAAUUCAUGACCAAUCCUGACCAAAGAUGAUGGACAGUUUUUGACAGCUAAAAUGGCCUAGCAAUGUGGCAACAGCUUAGAGAGAGCUUACGACUUACACAGUCCACUAUAAUGUGAUUUUUCAUCAGUCUGAGGAUAAAAUGGCCACAAAACAUCUCACAGCCAAGAAAUGAUGUUUCUCAGAAAUAUCUGCAGCCUAGGGAGGUGCAAAUGAUGUUUCUUAGAAUCCUUUGUUGGCUGUGAGAUGCUGAGCAAAUUCAAAACUGCUCUGACCUAAGUUUCUUCAUCUGACCCACCUUCUCUGUAAAAAGAACAGAAACAAAAACAAAAACAAAACACUUGGUAGGGGUUGGCACAUUGGAGGUGCUCAAAGAUGUCAGUUCUCUGCCACUGCCUUUGGACUGGGUAAGGAUCCAGUCCUGAAACUCUCCAAGUGAUACCUGGUCCUUGAAUAGUCAUGACUAUAUACAUAAUUGGGGUCAUGAUGGGAGAAGAUGAAGGCUCUCUGAAUCUCAGAACUCAACAGACAAGCCUGUCUCUGAGUGAAAAACUGUAUCUACCAUGUGCCCAAUGACCAAAAAACAAAUGAUAGCAAAAAUCUCCAAGGUCUCUUCUUAGAUCACAGCUCUUGGAAUCAAGAAGAGCCUAUUGUUGGAGACUAUGAAAUGGGGAGCCCAGAGGUACUGUCCACUUUUAGGACAGAACACCACAAGGCAGACACAGACAAGGGACAUCCUGCUGAUCUCUUUCUAAUCCUAGAUUCUCCAAAUCCCUUUAAGUCUCUGCUUUCUUAUUAGAAAAAUAGGAACAAUAAUCCCCAAGUCAUUGUGUAAUUAUGAGGAUUAAAUGAGUCCACACAAUUCCAAAAUUCUUUGUGAACUCAAAAGAAACACAAACAUGAGGUGUUAACUAUAAUAAUUAUUACUCAUCUAUUUCUCAAUCAGGACCCACUCAAUAGUCCCCAGCCACUUCACAGUUUGGGCAGUUCCAGACAUAGAGUACGCAUUCAAUAAACACAGGUUGACUUAAUGAUUGAUCCCAGGACUCCUCUUGGUCAAAUUCUUUGCCUGCCAUCUAGCUACUCAUGACUCAAACAGUAGGACAGGUGGCCACAGGCACAGAGAGGGGUCAUACCAUACCAUGAAGCCAGGGGAGGAAGACUGAGCUAGAUCUGACCCAGUGUGAGCUAGAGUGGACCAGCUCAGGGGUAUUCUGGGAAGGUUAGACAUGUCAUGACCUGUUGGUAACACAUGGGUCCACCCACCUCAGCCCUUAAUGGAUCUGAGUCAUUAGAGUUUUUAUGAUGCCUACUUUUUAGUCUCUUGUCCACCUCUGGUAAAAUGCAUAGCUUCUGUUCAUGGUUCUAAACUGUUCUCACAGAAGUUCAGGUUUGAAUGUUUACUUUGAUGGUUCUCAUCUUUAAAAAAAUACUAUCUGUUGGUUGAAAAUAAUUUGUAUUUACACAUAGAUUCAUCAAAUCAGUGCGAUGGCACCCUGUUCCUCAGUCCACAGCCCAUAGAUUAGGAACCACUGGUCAACUUGAUAUUUGUUUUACAAUAACCAUGUGCUACCAAGAAGAAAUUGCAUCCUUCUCUCAGCGAGUGUAAACUCUCUGACACCAGAAUUCCAGAGUUACCAAACAGGGAAUCAUAGAUUGGAAGGUGAUAAUGGAGGCUAGGACUACAAAAUCGGGGAUGAUUAAGAUUAAAGGGCCUGCCAGAGGGGGAACAAAGCACAUGAGAAGUGUGCUCAUGGAGGUGCAAAAGGGUGAGGAUACAAAUGAAUAUUUUGCAUGUUGGUAAUGCAGGGCCCCUUGCAAGAGCCUUGGUCCCCCAGCUCCACUGCAGUCUAGGAAGGUGCAGAUGGCAAGACAAGCAGAUGGGCAGGUUCGGGAAUAGCAGGGUAAGAGAAGGGAGGGCAGAAAUAAAAGCAAACCGAUAUAAGUGGCAGGUUUGUUCGCACAUGCUUAGAGAGAGAGAAAAGACAGCCAAGCCCAGUGUAACAUGACAGCCUGGCAGGAUUGUCAUUCCCAAAAGCUGGGACACUAAAAUAUUUCAGCCAGUUUUCUGCCUAAACUCUUCAAGGGAAAUACUGCUAACAAAGGCUGCCCAUGUUACAUGCUUAACAUAAUGCAGAAAUUACCAUUCUCCUUUCUUUGGGUAAGACAAAAUGUCACAACCUUUGUCUCUACGGCACCAACACUGUGGUCACCAGCUGGAGGCUUCUACAUUUCCACUCUUAUUUUCUCACUACACACGUAUGCAUGUAAACACGUGACCAUACACAUACAUACAAACACACCACAUGAACACACACACACACACCCACACACAGCAGCAACACAGCCAUCUGGACAGACAUGCUCUCCUACGACACCUUUUUUCUUCUCAGUUCUGACAGCUUAAACUCAAGAUUCAUAUGCCAUCAAAGAUGCCUAAGAUGCCUGGUUUUAAAAGAAGCAGAAUGAGUCUGAGGGUGGGGAGGUGAGUAGAAAAGGAUGGAGUAGAAAAGAGGAGGUCAGGGAGGGGGAGAUACACAGAGGAAGAGAGAGCAGAGAUAGAUGCUUGGCUCCUGCUAUUCUACUAACAAGCUGUCCUUUUAGAAUUUGUUAAUUGAGAAAAAUCUAUAAUUCCAAAUAGCAUCACGGUCCACUGCCUAUGACCCCCAUUGCCUGUGCAUGUGAUGUUCACUUCCCCUCUGCAGCCUUGCACGGUAACCCCGGGAGAGAGAUUGCUCAUUUUUCUCUAACUCCCUUGGUAUUUACUGCAUGCAUAUAGCAUUUUACCUUGCAGCUUUGUGCUUUGUAUCUAUAUCCUCUAAAUUCUUCAGUUAAUGAGUUUCAUGGGAGGAACAAUAGUGUCCAAGUAUCACUGCAUCCUUCACUGUGUCUAAUCCACAGCGUGGCACACAGUACAUGCUAAAUGACUGUCUCUUAAUGAUGAACGAAUAAAUAAGUGCAUGAACGGACUCGUUAAAUUGAUAUAAAAAUAAACAGAUUCUUGCAAGAGCUGUGAAAAGUAAUAAAGAGAAAAGAUCAGAAGAGUGUAAGAUUCAGAAAUAAAGAGGAAGAAAAUGUGUUCUGAGCUAUGCAUCCCACAAGGAUGUGCUGGCUAUCAGGAGCGAUCUAUUGCCAUCUAUCUGAGGUCUCAACAGCAGCAUAUCAUUCAUCAGAGCAAGCUAUAAAGGAGAAUACACUUUUGAACUACAUAGAUUUAAUUGGAAAAUGAAGGUAAUAUUGAUUUUAUCAUAUGAUCUCUGGAAAAUUUCUGUCAUUGGGUUUCCAUAAAGCAUCAUUUGUCGUCCUGUUCUCAAAGUCUUUCAGUGCCUCCACUCACUCACCAUCUGUCUGUCCAUCCAUCUGUCCACCUACCUAGCCCUCUGUCCAUCUGUCCAUCCAUUUACACAAUCCUCUGUUUGUCCACUCACACACCUGUCUGUCCAUCUCUUCAUCCAUCUUUCCAACAGGAUUUGUUGAGCUCAGGCUGGAUGAAGAGCACUAGGUCCUAUUCUGGCUUGGAUAUACCUCUUUGCUUUUGUGCUGGGCACAAGAAAAUCCCCUAGUCUGCAGCUCAUUCUCAGAAGCGCAACACUACACCUGCCUGCUCUAUGUGAUCACAAAUGCCCAUCACCUGACACCUUCACUCCUGGGCAGAGGCCUGACAGUACACGGGCAGGAUGGGUGUGGCUGCAGCUGUGUCCCUGCCUAGAGACAAAGAGCCAGCCACACAUCCAAACAGGAGCACAGAAGCCUCCAGACUUACCGGCUUGGUUUGUGGUGAUGUUGACAGAGACGUGCUGUGGGGGGAAGGGACUCUUGCUGGAGACUCCAUUGAUGGCCUGGAUGUCAAAGGUGUAGG
rnacentral:lncRNA from 1 species